ACGUGGUCAAAGAGCUGUAUGUGGCUUGCGAACCGCAGGUUACCGACUCCUGACAACUGGUAUGCAAGUACGCAUUCACCUUUAAACCUCUACACCGCAAAUGAAGUAUGAAUUAGCAUAUAACGGUUAGAAUGCACGGUAAUUUCUUGUUAUAUCGGUGCAAAUGCACAUAAGGUAGGUACGUAUGUAUUUGCGCUGUUACAUUAAUCGAUUGCCGCACGUAUCGCUUUUGGAGGUGAAUGCGUCUUUUGUACCAGUUAUGUCCAACCCUGUCUAUAACAAGAAGUGGCUAUUACUCUGUUUACUUUUAUUGAUAGUGUCAUAAGUGUACUAGUAUAAAAUCCUUGCAAAUGGCAGUUUUUCUUUGUUCCCUGUCUUUUUCAAGCUUAGUGGAGAUUAAUAGUAAUUAAAGUGUCCUUUAAUUUGGGUAAUAAAUAAUUUUUCCUCACUGUACCAUCUGUACCAUUCCUUUGGAUUUUGACAAAUAGCAUGGCUUCCUAUUGGGCAAAAAGGAGAAGGGUCUUAAAAAGCACAAAUGAAACAGAAAAUGAUAUUUUAAAUAAUUUUGAAUCAGCUAUUGCAUGUCAGUGUAUAAAUGCUCCCUCCAGUGAAACUCUUCAUGAUACAUUUUGUCUGAUUACUGAUGAAAAUGAGUCUGAUAGUCACACAACUCAAAAUGACUCAGAAGUGCAAAGUGCAACUCCCAGCAAUUCAUCAGAUCUGGAUGAGGGUGAAUUUUGUCAGGAAGGAGAGCUUAAUUUUAAAUUGAGGCACUGGGCUAAAACAUUUUCUGUUCCACUUGUUGCUCUGACUUCUCUUCUUUGCAUUCUACAAGUCUACCAUCCUCAGUUGCCAAAAGAUGCAAGAACAUUACUUGGCACACAGUCUAGAGUUAUAGUGAAACGUGUAGGUGGUGGGGAAUAUUACCACUUCGGUUUAGAGAAAGGGUUGAUCUCAAAAUUGCAGUCCAUCCAAUUGCCUGACUUGUUGAACACAAUAAAGAUGCAGUUCAACAUAGAUGGUCUGCCUUUAUUCAAGAGCUCUAAACUUCAGUUUUGGCCAAUUCUGUCAAUGAUUGACUGCGACUACACAAAGACACCCUUCAUUGUUGGCCUCUUUUGCGGAUCAGGAAAACCACACAGCGUAUUUGAAUAUUUAAAGGAUUUUGUGGAUGACCUCUCCAAAUUGUUAGUUAAUGGUGUGACCUAUGAUGGUAAAACCUUGAGGGUCAUUGUGUCAUCCUUUGUGUGUGAUGCUCCAGCACGUUCGUUUAUUAAACAGGUUAAGUCUCACAAUGGCUAUUCAGGAUGUGACAAAUGCCAUCAAGUUGGUGAGUGGCGAAAUAAGAUGACAUAUAAAGAGACCACAGUGAGAAAAAGGGCUGAUGAUGAGUUUUUUGAAAUGGUGGAUCAAGAUCAUCAUCUAGGUCAUAGUCCACUCACUGGGAUAGUGAAGAUGGUGUCAAUGUUCCCCAUUGACUAUAUGCAUCUCUGCUGUCUAGGCGUCACUAGAAAACUAAUACAUUUUUGGUUGAGAGGUAAAAAUUUGUUGACACGAUUACCUUCCAGAGUAGUUUCUGCAGUGUCUGAGAAACUGGUUAAUCUUCGCCCAUACACACCUUCAGAAUUUGCUCGAAAGCCUCGUGAAUUGAGUGAAAUAGACCGCUGGAAAGCAACAGAAUUGCGUCAGUUUAUGAUUUACACAGGUCCUGUGGUUCUUAGAGGCAACCUUCCAGAAGAGCUGUAUGACAACUUCAUGCUAUUUUCUGUCGGCAUGUUCUUGCUGCUGUGCCCCGGUCUUUCAGCCUCAAUGAUUGACUUUGCUCACAGACUGAUGGUGGCCUUUGUUGAUCACUUUGGCCAGUUGUAUGGCCAGGAUGAAGUGGUGUUUAGCAUACACCAACUGAUACAUUUGUCUGAUGAGUAUUGGCUGCUUGGCCCUCUUGACAAUGUGUCAUCUUUUCCAUAUGAAAGUUUCCUUGGGAAAAUUAAAAAAAUGUUAAGAAAGCCAAAUCAGCCAUUACAACAAAUUGUGAAAAGGCUUUCUGAGGUUCCAAGUGUUUUUGUCCAGCCCCAUAGUGAACAGACUGAAUUACUGGAACUUCAUCAGAAAGGUCCAUUGCCAUUUCAGUUAAGCUCUGUUCAGCAGUACAAAAGAAUCGUAACCAGGGAUUUUUCAUUUUCAACACAUAAGGGAGACAACUGUGUCAUAAUAGGGAGUAAAAUUGCUUUGGUGCAAAACAUACUGAAAUCCGAUGCAGUCUGUGUGGUUUAUCAGAAGUUUAAGAAUUGUCAGUCGUUCUUUUCGUAUCCCUGCCCCUCAUCGUUAAUUAAUUGUUACCUGGUUGAUGGAUUGGAUGAAGAGUUUGCUGUGGGAAAUCUGAUGAAUAUUAACAGGAAAUGUGUGUUGUUCCCAUAUAAUGAGAGUUUUAUUGCAAUUCCUCUACUUCACCUAAACAUGAGCUUUUGAUUUGAUACUAGUAUACACACAAUUUAUAGUAAGCUUUUUUCUUGUUAUAAUCCUUGACACAUUCAGAAAUACAAAGGACAUGGUACAGUUGUGGAAAGUGGUGGAGUUUGAGGACAAAGGUACAGCUAUUGCACCAUCCAACUGGCUGAAUGAGACGGAUAAUGAGAAGACAUGCUACUGGCCACCAUUUGAUGGGCAGCGACUUCAUAAGGCUGUCAUAGACCACAUCCUACCAGAACAGGGCUGGUCCAUUCACAGGCAUAUAAGAGUGUUGGCAAGCUGUGGUAAGUAUAACCUUAAUUUUUUAUUUUCUUUAAAAAAAAAAAAAAAAAAAACCAUUUUAACUCAAAACUUACUUUUUAUGCUUCCAGUAUCAUAUGAUAAAGCCAAACAAUGUCUCAAGAAGUCUGUACAGGUACAACCAGAUUGCCCAACAACAGACAUUCAGUCAGAUGAAGAAAUGGCUGUGAGGCAGAAAAGAAGAGCGAAGCCUAAUCCCCGAUACAUGGGGGACAGUGACGAUGAUUAUAAUGACAAACAUGCUCCCAAAAGAAGAGUUCCCCAACCUAAAGUUGUUAUGCCAGUCCAAGGCCUUGCACAGCCUGAACAACACAACUGGUAUUGCACCUCACAGCGCCCCAGCAAUGAUUGGAACACUGACAGAUGGCAAAAUGAAAAUCACCAAAGAGGUAAAUAUGGUCUUAUUGUUUAGUUAUAGCCAUGUGGUAACUUGGCAGAGCCUUUUAAAAUAUCUG